rnacentral:rRNA from 1 species
GCAGGAGGGGUUGAGGCACCAGUAACAACGCUACUGUGGGCCAUGGCAGAGUUGAUGCAAAACCCUAGCGUGAUGUCUAGAGCACAAGCUGAGGUCAGGGGUGCCUUCAUGGGACAAAUGGAGGUAACCGAGGAGGGUCUAGGCCAGCUAAGCUACUUGCAUUGUGUCAUCAAGGAGACCAUGCGAUUGCACACACCUGGUCCAUUAUUAUUGCCAAGGGAAUGCCAAGAACAAUGCAAUAUACUUGGCUAUGAUGUUCCCAAAGGUGCUACUGUUCUUGUGAAUGCUUGGGCUAUCUCAAGGGACCCGGAAUACUGGGACGAACCAGAAGCAUUCGUGCCAGAUAGAUUUAUGGGUAGUAAGAUAGAUUACAAAGGCAACGACUUUGAGUUCACACCUUUCGGUGCCGGACGUCGGAUUUGCCCCGGGAUGCAUUUUGGGAUCGCGAAUAUUGAGCUAGCACUCGCAAGUCUCCUAUUUUAUUUUGACUGGGCUCUCCCAGAUGGCAUUCUUCCCGGUGAUCUUGACAUGACAGAAACCAUGGGAAUCACUGCUAGGAAGAAGGAGGAUCUGUGGUUGCGUGCAACUCUCCACGUACAGCUGCCCCGCUGA